rnacentral:rRNA from 1 species
ACUUUAACCCACUUAGGGGAACCUGUCCUUUAAUUCGAUAGUCCACGACAAUCUUAUUUAUUUUAGAACACUUCAGCUUGUAUACCGUCGUCAUAAGUUAACCUUAAAAAGAAAAAAAGUCAACAAUAAAGAUAAAUUUAAUAAUUUUCUCUCAGGUCAGAUCAAGGUGCAGCUAAUAAAUAAAGAGGAGAUGGGUUACAAUUGAUAAAUCUCAAAUGGAAUUUUUAAAGAAAAUAAAAACGAAAUAGGACUUAAAAGUAAUUUAUGAAAACAAACACUAAUGAAUAAGGAAAUAAAGUGUGU